AUCUGUAGUCAUCCCACCCUGACUGUGCCACAUCUCAUCUGAUCUUGGAAGCUAAGGAGAGUCAGACCUGGUAGGAGGGAGAGAAAACUUGCUGGCAGAGGAAAAUAUACAAA
rnacentral:rRNA from 1 species